rnacentral:rRNA from 1 species
UGAACGCUGGCGGCGUGCCUACUACAUGCACGUCGAGCGAACGGACGAGAAGCUUGCUUCUCUGAUGUUAGCGGCGGACGGGUGAGUAACACGUGGAUAACCUACCUAUAAGACUGGGAUAACUUCGGGAAACCGGAGCUAAUACCGGAUGAUAUUUUGAACCGCAUGGUUCAAAAGUGAAAGACGGUCUUGCUGUCACUUAUAGAUGGAUCCGCGCUGCAUUAGCUAGUUGGUAAGGUAACGGCUUACCAAGGCAACGAUGCAUAGCCGACCUGAGAGGGUGAUCGGCCACACUGGAACUGAGACACGGUCCAGACUCCUACGGGAGGCAGCAGUAGGGAAUCUUCCGCAAUGGGCGAAAGCCUGACGGAGCAACGCCGCGUGAGUGAUGAAGGUCUUCGGAUCGUAAAACUCUGUUAUUAGGGAAGAACAUAUGUGUAAGUAACUGUGCACAUCUUGACGGUACCUAAUCAGAAAGCCACGGCUAACUACGUG